rnacentral:lncRNA from 1 species
UGGGUUAUCGGCAGUAAAUGCAGCUGUGCUGGUGUCGCGUGUUCCGUGGCUGCUUCACGUCCCUGGACCCUGGCCAGGAUGCGGAGGAAGAGCACCUAUUUUGUCGAGAGUCAUCGUGGAGGAAGCGUGCCAUGGUGCCACAUACUCCAGCUCAUCCCACCACCCAAACAAGCAGCUUUUUUAUCACAGAAGCUGAGGGGCUCAACGGCUUCACGCUGGCUCCGAAAUGGGACCCCAGUCACUGCGGCCCCUUGGAGUGGGUGUAGGUCCUGUGCAGAACCUCCAGCAUGCUGUAACAGACGAGGGACAAGAGGAAAGGCAAGAUGUACAGAAUCAUGUGCCGGUGGUUUAACAAGCCCAACACACACACAAAAACCCUUUCUGACAAAAGCCGGUGUUACUAGCAGACAGUACCACAUGAAGACCGAGAAGAAGGUGAAACGGCCUAGCCACCAGUGCUCUGUCCUCCGCUAGACACACAGCCAUGUUAUUUCACAGAAGCCUUGACAGGAGACGAAAACGGCUGAGACUCCUCCAGCCGUAACCUGCAAAGCCCAACCAAAAGCGAACAUAAUGGAUAAUUCCUUCAGCUUGACCAAGGGAAAAAAAGUUUAAAAGUAAAAAAAAAAAAGAAAGAAAAGAAAAAAAUGAGAGGGAGAGGAGGGUGGGAGCUAUGACAUAGUGCCUUAGCACAUUUAAGAUGGUCUGCUGUUUGGGUUUUUUCUGUGUGUAAGGCGUGACAGUCUUUAUUUUCUGUUUGACUGGUGGCAAGAGUUGCAGUGGAUGUCUUUCUCUCUUCUGCACCACGAAACAGCUUAAAAGCCUUUCUGGGACUUUUAAUUUCUCACAGUCGAAACUCCAGACUGCCCCUGAAAUGUGAGCCCCACUGAGUUAUAACCAAAUCCAAUUCCUACUGAAACAACUACACACAAACAAAAAUCAUUUUCACUAGAAAUUGUAGAAUAUGCUUAGUGUGUGAAAGAAAAUAAUUGGAUUAUGUAAAUGUGGCGCACAAAGAUAGAUUUUUUUGGACUGCCUGCCUUUAAUUACAGUAUAACUCCUUAACAAUAUAUCACACCUCUGACUAAGGCACAUUAAGCCCCCCCCCCCCCCCACACACACACACACACAAAGAAAAUGUUUUCAAAAUGUAUUGCCAUU